UACGUAGGGGGCAAGCGUUGUCCGGAUUUAUUGGGCGUAAAGAGCGUGUAGGCGGCCAUGUAGGUCCGUUGUGAAAACUCGAGGCUACAACCUCGAGACGCCGAUGGAAACCAUGUGGCUAGAGUCCGGAAGAGGAGAGUGGAAUUCCUGGUGUAGCGGUGGAAUGCGCAGAUAUCAGGAGGAACACCGGUGGCGAAGGCGGGGUCUCUGGGCAGUAACUGACGCUGAGGAGCGAAAGCGUGGGGAGCGAACAGG
rnacentral:rRNA from 1 species